GCGGUGUUAGGUCCAUUUGGCAUUCACAUAUGGACUCCAAGAGAGUAAAGAUGACUCAUCCCAGACCAACACGUUGAGCUCUGCAGGCUUCACUUGCUUCAGUAAAGGGUUCAUGAUGCCAUGCACCCUAAUAGGGUUCCCAGGGCCUUUUGGAGAAGAAACAGGCCUGCAGCGUUACGGAUUCUCCACCGUUCACAACAACAGGCAUGAAGUGCUUUUCCACAGAUUAAUCCUCCGUUUCAUGCUAAAUCUGCCAAAUGCGUCAAUGGGCUGAAACUUGGAUAAAUUUCACUGCAACAGGAUUCAAUGAACUGUGUGCCAAACAUUCCUCGAGUCAAGCCACUCGUGAGCCAGAGACAACGUCCGAUGCGUCUUACCUGAACUCAGUAGAGAAAAAGAACGGGACUUUUGCUCAGUGGUUUAAAAGUAAAGUUUCUGGAAGGAAGAGGAGAAAGAGUGGAGAGGUACAGAAGCCAUGAUGCUUGAAGUCUGAGAUGAGUUUCCACAAUCCGUGAUGGAGCCAUGUCAUCUGCCGGUGUUGGUCUUCGGGGUUUUCUGCAGUCCACAGUCCACGGAGUCGUCUACCAGGACAUUUGAGAGAGCUUCAUGCUUCGGUUUGCUGACCGGCUUAAAGGAGACGUUUUCAUUUUCCAACAGGUCGUGGAACCUGGCCUCACUUACAAGGUACCAAAAGCUGGCCAUGGUGUUCCUGUGUGAAGUUGACCCGCAAACUAGUCUGACCUUUCACCCCAGAGAGACUCCAUGGACUGUCAAGAGGAAGAUGAGAGACACCAGAUGCAAUAAUGAAGACUUCUUGAAACCUGCAACCAAUGCAACGUGGGCUUCCUGAACACCUCAAUGCCACAUUGCCAGUACUUUAUGCAAAUUUAUUCAUCAACUUUAUGUAAUAUUUACAUUUUUAGAGACAUUAA